CGACAGCGCCGGGCCCCUCUGGCGGUGCGGGCGGACACGCCCCGCCGCGAUGUCGGAGCUGUUCC
rnacentral:ncRNA from 1 species